GGCGUAGGGCGCGAGCGUUGUCCGGAUUUAUUGGGCGUAAAGAGCUCGUAGGCGGUUCGGUAAGUCGGGUGUGAAACCUCCAGGCUCAACCUGGAGACGCCACCUGAUACUGCUGUGACUCGAGUCCGGUAGGGGAGCGUGGAAUUCCUGGUGUAGCGGUGAAAUGCGCAGAUAUCAGGAGGAACACCAGCGGCGAAGGCGGCGCUCUGGGCCGGAACUGACGCUGAGGAGCGAAAGCGUGGGUAGCAAACAGG
rnacentral:rRNA from 1 species